rnacentral:piRNA from 1 species
UAGAGUGAAACAUGCACGGCAUGGACA